GGGGGAUGUGGUGUUGGAGGGGGUGAGGGCAGUAGGGGAAGGUAACUCCAUACAGCAGUGAAAAGUGUGCUGUCACCUUACUGUAAUCCCAGCGAAAGCCAGAAAGGGGUAUUGCUAUAUCUUGCAAUGGACUCUGUAUCACCUUGUCAAUGAAUGCUUUAACUUUAGGAGGAGGCUCAGAGUCGAGUUUUAUAGAGGGACCGAUGACGCUUUCACCAGACAAAAGUUGCCGAAGCCUCGACGGCAAGCUCGAUCUUAUCGUUGCCAUCACACCUCGUCUUCUCUACUUUCAACUAGUA
rnacentral:misc_RNA from 1 species